rnacentral:rRNA from 1 species
UACGAAGGGGGCUAGCGUUGCUCGGAAUCACUGGGCGUAAAGGGUGCGUAGGUGGUGAGGUAAGUCGGAUGUGAAAGCUCGGAGCUCAACUCCGAAAUGGCAUUGGAAACUACCUUGCUCGAGGGUUGGAGGGGGGACUGGAAUGCUUGGUGUAGCAGUGAAAUGCGUAGAUAUCAAGCGGAACACCAGUGGCGAAGGCGGAUCUCUGGACAGCUCCUGACGCUGAGGCGCGAAGGCUAGGGGAGCAAACGGG